UACAGGGGGGGCAAGCGUUGUUCGGAAUUACUGGGCGUAAAGGGUUUGUAGGUGGCUUGUUAAGUCAGACGUGAAAUCCCUCAGCUUAACUGGGGAACUGCGUCUGAUACUGGCGAGCUUGAGUGCAGGAGAGGAACGCGGAAUUCCAGGUGUAGCGGUGAAAUGCGUAGAUAUCUGGAGGAACACCGGUGGCGAAGGCGGCAUCCUGGACCGACACUGACGCUGAGGAGCGAAAGCCAGGGGAGCAAACGGG
rnacentral:rRNA from 1 species